GAUGAACGCUGGCGGCGUGCCUAAUACAUGCAAGUCGAGCGAACAGACGAGGAGCUUGCUCCUCUGACGUUAGCGGCGGACGGGUGAGUAACACGUGGAUAACCUACCUAUAAGACUGGGAUAACUUCGGGAAACCGGAGCUAAUACCGGAUAAUAUAUUGAACCGCAUGGUUCAAUAGUGAAAGACGGUUUUGCUGUCACUUAUAGAUGGAUCCGCUCCGCAUUAGCUAGUUGGUAAGGUAACGGCUUACCAAGGCAACGAUGCGUAGCCGACCUGAGAGUGUGAUCGGCCACGCUGGAACUGAGACACGGUCCAGACUCCUACGGGAGGCAGCAGUAUGGAAUCUUCCGCAAUGGGCGAAAGCCUGACGGAGCAACGCCGCGUGAGUGAUGAAGGUCUUCGGAUCGUAAAACUCUGUUAUUGGGGAAGAACAAAUGUUUAAGUAACUAUGCACGUCUUGACGGUACCUAAUCAGAAAGCCACGGCUAACUACGUG
rnacentral:rRNA from 1 species